GAGUUUGAUCAUGGCUCAGGAUGAACGCUGGCGGCGUGCCUAAUACAUGCAAGUCGAGCGAACGGACGAGAAGCUUGCUUCUCUGAUGUUAGCGGCGGACGGGUGAGUAACACGUGGAUAACCUACCUAUAAGACUGGGAUAACUUCGGGAAACCGGAGCUAAUACCGGAUAAUAUUUUGAACCGCAUGGUUCAAAAGUGAAAGACGGUCUUGCUGUCACUUAUAGAUGGAUCCGCGCUGCAUUAGCUAGUUGGUAAGGUAACGGCUUACCAAGGCAACGAUGCAUAGCGACCUGAGAGGGUGAUCGGCCACACUGGAACUGAGACACGGUCCAGACUCCUACGGGAGGCAGCAGUAGGGAAUCUUCCGCAAUGGGCGAAAGCCUGACGGAGCAACGCCGCGUGAGUGAUGAAGGUCUUCGGAUCGUAAAACUCUGUUAUUAGGGAAGAACAUAUGUGUAAGUAACUGUGCACAUCUUGACGGUACCUAAUCAGAAAGCCACGGCUAACUAC
rnacentral:rRNA from 1 species